GCCGGGCGUGGUGGCGGGCGCCUGUAGUCCCAGCUACUCGGGAGGCUGAGGCAGGAGAAUGGCGUGAACCCGGGAGGCGGAGUUUGCAGUGAGCCGAGAUCGCGCCACUGCACUCCAGCCUGGGCGACAGUGUGACACUCUGUCUCGGAAAAAGAAAAAAAAAAGAACUAUAAGGUAAUAAAGUAUUUUUUUUUUUUUUUUUUGAGACAGAGUCUCGCUCUGUCACCCAGGCUGGAGUGCGGUGAUGCUAUCUCGGCUCACUGUAAGCUCCGCCUCCCGGGUUCACGCUAUUCUCCUGC
rnacentral:SRP_RNA from 10 species